AUUUAGAAUCAGUGUAUAUCUUCCAGUAGACUCAAGUCAUAAACAACAUUUGCAGUGAGGCUACAAUUAAGCUCACUGUGUUUGAUUGUUGUAUGGUCAGGUGCGUUUUAUUGCUGACUUGCUUGUGCUGUGCCUUAUUUCAGGGCAAGUCAUGCAUGCAACCAAUGGACUACGUGGGUACUCUGUAUUUAAUUAGCUCCAAAAAUAGUGUAAUCAAAGCUGAAAGGAGAAUUCUAAAAGUCAGCAGUAACACAAUGUUCACUAUUUCGUCAUUUGAUGUUGUAUUAUAGGAAUUGGGAUUUUGUGUUCCUGUGAAACAUCCACAUAAGAUUAUUAUUACAUACUUGCUAUAAUAGAACACGAAGAUAAUCAAGAGCUGGCUCAAAAAUCUUGAAAUUUUAUGAAUGACUCGUUGAAGAUGGAUGUCUUUGUUUGGUUCACACCAGAAAUGAUUGCUUGUGCUUGCAUUUUCCUUGCUGGUAGACAGCUUCAGAUUCCUUUUCCUGAGAACCCACCCUGGUGGUUGUUGUUUGAAGCUUGUUAUGAAGACAUUGAGGAGGUGUGCGCGAAAUCAGUUGCACUAUCUUGGAACAUUAUGAAAGACCUUAAAGAGAAUUAUUGAAACUAGUAGAGGCAGUAAUGGAGGCUAAGAAACAACUUGAAGCUAAGAAAACUGGGGUAAUUGUCAGUUCUAGAGACAUCGAGACAUCAAAUGGUCUAAAGACUGGUAGUUGGACUAGCUCUCGUACGGCUUCGCCACAAGCUGGAAGUGCCACUGGAUCGAAACCCACUGCUGACAAGUAGGAUGAAAAUUAUGACACUAGGAAAACUGAUUCACAGUCAAGGAGGGAAGCAAAGUCUGGCGAUGUAAGUCCUGUGGUUGUGUCUGACAGAAGCAGUGGGUCUCUCAGUGAGGAAAACAGUUGUGGUAGUGGUGAUGAGAGCAGUGAUAGUUCUCCACAUGUCAGUCAGCGUAGCUCACCACGUCCAAACACGAGAGACCAGUUGCCUCGACCCUCAAAUCUAUCAAGACAUUCUAGACGAAACGAGAGGAAUGCAUCUCCUAUUCGUAGGCAUCGCCAGCAUCUAUAUAGCUCACGCAGUCGCAGCAGGUCAAGGGAGAGGAGGGAUAGCCAUGCAAGGGAAGGUCAGAGAGAACGAUUUAGGGACUAUAAUGGUGAUAGAAGAUCAGGCUAUGGAUAUGAACGUGAUAAAAGUCGUAGGGAUCAUUACGGAAAGGCCUCUUACCAAGAUGAUAAGUAUCGAGGAAAGUCUAAAUACAGAUGAAAUAGUCCAGUCUGAUUUGAUUAUAUGCACAUAGGGCAGCAUCUUUGGUAUUAGUAAAUAAUGAAAUUACGUUACUGUGUUGCUUACUAGUGUCUGAUGUAGCUUAUUGUAUAAUACAU